rnacentral:lncRNA from 1 species
GCAUAUAGGGAAAACGGUACUAUUUAUUCUGCCAUAGGCGACAAUAUUAACAUUUUCUAAAUUUACCACUUUUUAAGAUAAAAACCUGGAUAAAACAGUUAUAUGUUGUGUUAGUACUUUAUUAUUGUGUUUUAAAAAUUAAAGCCAAAUAGUAUCAUGACCAACUUCCAACGGAGCUUGUUUAUGUUAUCCAUGCCCACCGUCAUUUUGCACCAAAUUUAUAAAAUUUU